AUACAGAUGAGGAGUCUCACGAUAGGACGAAACGGCCGUCCAGUAU
rnacentral:hammerhead_ribozyme from 1 species